CGCAAGGAAAGGCUGAUGCGUAGGGUCGCUGCUGUCAAAACGGGCAGAUCGGAGGCUGGGGGACAGGCCCUGGACCUGAGUGCGCUCCUUCAGACGUGUCAGACCUGGUACCUCGCUGAAGCUGAGCGCUCUCUUCCUCAACGCCUACCUCCUAGGAGUGCUGAGUUUGGGACGGAAAAUUGUGCCCAAGAAGUAAGUCUUUGAUCUGCCUGAUCUGCCUGACCUGCUUAUCUCCAGGAUCUAACAAAGCAGGUUCUACAGAAAAACCACUCCAUGAGUGUUUGAUGGAGACAGACAAGAUGACAGAAGAAACUCAACCCGGGAGCUGAAUGUUUUCCAUAAACGAGGAGGAGUUCUCUGCUUCACUCUUAUGAAGGCACCUGUCAAUGCAUUUUUGGUCUACCUGGGUAAUGAAAGAUGAUCUCAUUUCAAGAGCCUUGACUAAAUCACCCUGCAAAGACUCUUUUUCCAAAUAAGGAUUCCGCUAUGCUUGCCCAGGACUUAUUGAUCCUGCUUUGAUGUUACAGGGCAGAAGG